rnacentral:misc_RNA from 1 species
CACAAAUAACAUAUGAAGGCUGUACGCGGCUGUGCCCUUUGGGUGCAGCGUCUGCUGCGGCUGGAUUAUUUAUUUUCACCCUUGUCUUUUGCGCACUUGUUGUUUCCUGGGCGGGUUCGCCCGCCACCAGGACCACAUGAUAAACCUUUUUUAUGCAGUUGCAAUCAGCGUCAGUACAACAAAAUGUAAAUCAUUUA